GAGGGGUCGGGGGCUUGGUCCUUCGCCUGGGUGCAUCUGGCCUACCUGGCUGCCUGCUUCACCUGCGGUAGGUAACUGUAAGACCAAUGGACGAAGAGGACAAUGCAAUAGAUCUCUAUAAUAAUGCAAACCUAGAGAAACAGAACGAAGCUGCAAGAAUCAUUCAGAGAUCUUGGAAAAGAUAUAUUGAUACCCAUAUUUUUCAAUACUACAAAGGACUUAUCAGUUUUAAAAUGGUAGGGGAACCUCGUCUUUUGAUGAAAUACAUUGACCCUGUAGAGGCAGAAUUCCUAGAUGCUGCAGCAGGUGCAUAUAUCAGAUUCAGACUGGGCGGUACCAGGUAUCCUCCAAAUAUAUACUAUAAAAUAUUCACUCAUAGACCUGUUGUAGAUAUGUGUGCUAACAGCCCUAAAGAUUAUUCAAAGUUGGCAUCCAAACAGAGUCUGACAGAAAAGAUUCAUGGAAAGAUUUGGAAAGAUGAUGGCAGUGGCUGGUACAAACGUGUAGAGAACAAUGGUUGGAGACUUCUUUCUGCCAAAGCUUGGAAAAGCAUGGAUCCUUUCACAACUGAGGACAACAAAAAGGAAAUACAAUUUCAUUUCUCUAAGCUGAAGAGGAAACAAGAUGUUGAAGUGAGAAGAAAAAGGAAAAAAAUUGAAUGGCUGAAAAAAAUGUAUUCCUCAGGAAGCCUGUGGGUCAGAACAGGUGACCCUACCAUUACAGUCUUAAUCCAGAGAGCUGCAGAAGGCAUUAUUGAUGCCACUGAGAAAGAAAGAGCACAGGAUGUAAUGGAAUGGGAAGUGGAUGAAUUAUUGAAAUGGACAAAUGUACUUGACUAUGGAGAAUAUAUGAGCCAGUGGAAGGAAAUUGCAACAAGCAACACUUCCAACAACUAUACGGGUCUCAGGAACAAAGACCUUGCAGUUACUGGACUCAAACCCACUGGCUUGGAUGCAGCAACUCCCUCUUCGUCUCCGCUCUUCUGGUACACCAGCUCCCCAGACAACAUGACCCAGUGAUUCUCAGCCAGGGAGCUGUGGGGUGUCACACAAUGUGAGCACUUGUAGGAGUGUAAAUAUAAUUUACAAGAUCAGCAAUUUAAAGAACCUCUACCCAACAUGAAAUGAAACAGAUUCUUCUUUUCCUACUGUAACUCACCAUCAUAGCCUUGUG